GAUGAAGAACGUAGCAAAAUGCGAUACUUGGUGUGAAUUGCAGAAUCCCGUGAACCAUCGAGUUUUUGAACGCAAGUUGCGCCCGAAGCCUUUUGGCCGAGGGCACGUCUGCCUGGGCGUCACGCAUCGCGUCGCCCCCCACAAUUCUCCGUAAAAGGAACAUGUGUUUUGGGGGCGGAUAUUGGUCUCCCGUGCUCAUGGCGUGGUUGGCCGAAAUAGGAGUCCUUUCGAUGGACGCACGAACUAGUGGUGGUCGUAAAAACCCUCGUCUUUUGUUUCGUGCUGUUGCUCGCAAGGUAAACUCUUUAAAAACCCCAAUGUGUCGUCUCUUGACGACGCUUCGACCGCGACCCCAGGUCAGGCGGGACUAAGCGCUGAGUUUAAGCAUAUCAAUAAGCGGAGGA
rnacentral:misc_RNA from 1 species